GACGAACGCUGGCGGCGUGCUUAACACAUGCAAGUCGAACGGUGAAGGGAAGCUUGCUUCCCGGAUCAGUGGCGAACGGGUGAGUAACACGUGGGCAAUCUGCCCCAGACUUUGGGAUAACUACUCGAAAGAGUAGCUAAUACCGAAUAUUCAGCCUUGCAGGCAUCUGCGAGGCUGGAAAGUUUCUCGGUCUGGGAUGAGCCCGCGGCCUAUCAGCUAGUUGGUGAGGUAAUGGCUCACCAAGGCGACGACGGGUAGCCGGCCUGAGAGGGCGACCGGCCACACUGGGACUGAGACACGGCCCAGACUCCUACGGGAGGCAGCAGUGGGGAAUAUUGCGCAAUGGGCGAAAGCCUGACGCAGCAACGCCGCGUGCGGGAUGAAGGCCUUC
rnacentral:rRNA from 1 species